AUUGAACGCUGGCGGCAUGCCUAACACAUGCAAGUCGAACGGCAGCACGGGAACUGGUUCCUCUUGGCGGGGGGGGGACGGGGGAGUAAGACAUCGGAAUAGGACUCGACGUUGGGGAGGGGGCGGCGAUAGCCGGAGUAAUACCGCAAACGCACACGGGAUGAAAGAGGGGGAGGGGCAUGCUCGGCGCUUGCGGGCUGGCCGGUGGCGGAUUAGCUAGUGGGUGGGGGAAAGGCCCACCAAGGCGACGAUCAGUAGCUGGUCUGAGAGGAAGACCAGCCACACUGGAACUGAGACACGGUCCAGACUCCUACGGGAGGCAGCAGUGGGGAAUAUUGGACAAUGGGCGCAAGCCUGAUCCAGCCAUGCCGCGUGUGUGAAGAAGGCCUUCGGGUUGUAAAGCACUUUUGUCGGGAAAGAAAUGCAUCACGCUAAUACCGUGGUGUGAUGACGGUACCCGAAGAAUAAGCACCGGCUAACUACGUG
rnacentral:rRNA from 1 species